CCCUUUUCCUUACUUGCCAGCAUUUCGGAUGGGAACUUUAAGGAUACUGCCAGUGACAAACUGGAGGAAGGCGGGGACGACGUCAAGUCAUCAUGGCCCUUACGGCCAGGGCUACACACGUGCUACAAUGGUCGGUACAAAGGGUUGCUACCUAGCGAUAGGAUGCUAAUCUCAAAAAGCCGAUCGUAGUCCGGAUUGGAGUCUGCAACUCGACUCCAUGAAGUCGGAAUCGCUAGUAAUCGCGGAUCAGAAUGCCGCGGUGAAUACGU
rnacentral:rRNA from 1 species